rnacentral:rRNA from 1 species
AUUGAACGCUGGCGGCAGGCUUAACACAUGCAAGUCGAGCGAUCGGCGGACGGGUGAGUAAUGUAUGGGGACUGCCCGAUAGAGGGGGAUAACUACUGGAAACGGUGGCUAAUACCGCAUACUAUCCGAUAACCCAUAUGGGAUUAGCUAGUGGGUGGGGUAAAGGCUCACCUAGGCGACGAUCUCUAGCUGGUCUGAGAGGAGGAGCGGACACACUGGGACUGAGACACGGCCCAGACUCCCACGGAGGCAGGAGUGGGGAAUAUUGGACGAUGGGCGCAAGCCUGAUGCAGCCAUGCCGCGUGUAUGUAGAAGGCCUUAGGGUUGUAAAGUACAUUCAGCGGGGAGGCGUUACCCGCAGAAGAAGCACCGGCUAAAUCCGUGCCAGCAGCCGCGGUAAUAC